AUGGCCCGGGGGCCCGGCCAGCUAGGCAGGCCUCGCCCCGAUACGGUCGCCAUGCCCAAGAGAGGAAAGCGACUCAAGUUCUGGGCCCACGACGCCUGCUCUGGACAAGUGACUGAGGUGGAUUACGCCAACUCGGAUCCAGCGGUCGUGAGGUCUGGAUGAGUCAAGAAAGCCUUAGCCAACGCUGUUCAGCAGGAAGUAAAAUCUCUUUGUGGCUUGGAAGCCUCUCAGGUUCCUGCAGAGGAAGCUCUUUCUGGGGCUGGUGAGCCCUGUGACAUCAUCGACAGCGGUGAUGAGACGAUGCCCAGGAGGAAAGCAUCUGUGAGAGAACUGUCUCCAGAAAAAAGAAAAGCAAGAGGCACAAAGAAGAACUGGACGGGGCUGGAGGAGAAGAGUAUCCCAUGGAUAUUUGGCUAUUGCUGGCCUCCUAUAUCUGUCCUGAGGACAUUGUGAAUUUUUCCCUGAUUUGUAAGAAUGCUCGGACUGUCACUUGCACUGCUGCCUUUUGGACAAGGUUGUACCGAAGGCACUACACGCUGGAUGCUUCCCUGCCUUUGCGUCUGCGACCAGAGUCAAUGGAGAAGCUGCGCUGUCUCCGGGCUUGUGUGAUCCGAUCUCUGUACCAUAUAUGUAUGAGCCAUUUGCUGCUCCAAUCUCCAAGAAUCCAAGCACCCCCAGCACAUUAAAGAAUUCCAAAUGCUUACUUUUCUGGUGCAGAAAUAUUGUUGGGAACAGACAGGAACCAAUGUGGAAAUUCAACUUCAAGUUAAAAAAACAGGUUAAAGAGCAAGUGUACAGGAGGAUUGCAGCCCCCUGUUCAGUACGAAGAUGUUCAUACCAAUCCACACCGGGACUGCUGCCUACUGCAGGCCACCACCCUCAAUUUCAUCUUCAUUCCGAUUGUCAUGAGAAUGAUAUUUACUCUCUUUACUAUCAAUGUGAGCAAGGACAUACGGCAUCAUUGAGUGAGACUGGUGUUUCAAGAUUCCCCUGUCCAUGGUGGUCGGAAACUGUGCAGUGAACAGGGUGUGCAAGUCAUCCUGGACCCAGUGCACAGCUUUCGGCUCUUUGACUGAUGGCACCCUCAGUACCCAUUCUCCCUGAGAGC
rnacentral:lncRNA from 1 species